rnacentral:rRNA from 1 species
GUCUACAGCCAUACCACACUGAAUGAGCCCAAUCUUAUAUGAUCUCAGAAGCUAAGCAAGGUCAGGCCUGGUUAGAAGUUGGACAGGAGAAAAGGUAGGAGAACUGGCUUUCCUGAUGUCGAGAUA